rnacentral:rRNA from 1 species
AACGAACGCUGGCGGCAGGCCUAACACAUGCAAGUCGAGCGCCCCGCAAGGGGAGCGGCGGACGGGUGAGUAACGCGUGUGAACGUGCCCUUUGCUACGGAAUAGCCCCGGGAAACUGGGAGUAAUACCGUAUAAGCCCUACGGGGGAAAGAUUUAUCGGCAAAGGAUCGGCCCGCGUUGGAUUAGGUAGUUGGUGGGGUAAUGGCCUACCAAGCCGACGAUCCAUAGCUGGUUUGAGAGGAUGAUCAGCCACACUGGGACUGAGACACGGCCCAGACUCCUACGGGAGGCAGCAGUGGGGAAUCUUAGACAAUGGGCGCAAGCCUGAUCUAGCCAUGCCGCGUGAGCGAUGAAGGCCUUAGGGUUGUAAAGCUCUUUCGUGGGGGAAGAUAAUGACUGUACCCCAAGAAGAAGCCCCGGCUAACUCCGUGCCAGCAGCCGCAGUAAUAC